rnacentral:lncRNA from 1 species
GAUAAGUGUACCAGACCGGAGUAUUUGGGCUUACACAAAAGAUGGUAAGUACUCGGUCAAGAGUGGCAAUUGGGUUUUAACAAGGGAGACAGAGGCAAUGGACGUCUUAACCUUGGAUAUUCAGACCACAAACAAAACCAAAGAGAGACUAUGGAAGCUUGCAACAGCACCAAAGAUUAGGCUGUUCUUAUGGAGAGCCUUGUCGGGUGCCUUAGCAAUUGCUGAUUGUUUGAGAAAUCAUGGACUUAAUGUCUCUCCUUUGUGUCAACUAUGUGGUGGUGUUACAGAAACAGUUUCUCAUGUCCUUUUUGAGUGUUCUUUGGCGCAGAACGUGUGGACCAUUGUAGAUUUGCCUUUGUGGCCGCCUCUCUCAGGGAACUCCAUUGCAGCGAAAAUUGAUCACCUCUUGAACCUAAUGACGCAGCAAGAUUUGGACACAAAUCUGAGGGAGGCUAUCCCAUGGAUCCUUUGGGAGAUUUGGAAGGCCCGUAACUCCACAUUAUACGCUGCAAAAACCACUUCUCCUCAUUUUGUUGUUGCAACAGCUUUGGAAGAAGCCAAGGAGUGGUUACAACAGAACUUAGUAGCUCAGCAAGACCGUGGGUACAUUGAUCCUCACAUUGCGACGGGAGGACGAAGAUGGACCAAGCCAGCUCCGGGUAAGGUUAAAUGCAACAUACAUUCUUCUUGGCUCAAGGACUUUUAUCAUGUUGGUGGAGCAUGGAUCCUACGCAAUCACUUGGGAGAUGUCUUAUUUCAUGCUCGAGAUGCUUUCCUCCCCAUGGUUAACCGGAUUGCUGCGGAAUUACAUAUAAUUCUUUGGUGCAUCCGCAGUUUGAAAGAGUUGCGUAUAGAGUCUUGUGAAGUCUGGUCAGAUUGUGUAGCAGCUUUGGACGCAAUAGCUCGACCGGAGGAGUACCCUAAAUACCGUUCUCAGGUUAUCAAAAUUCAGCAAGUAAUACGGGUGAUGCGGGAGGUUAAUUUCCACCUCUCUUCACCGAAAGCCAAUUCUUUGGCCAAGGAGAUUGCUUGUAGUGUGACACGAGAAGGACGGUUUACUUCUUACUUAGCACGAGGAGGUCCGGCAUGGUUACAUAACCGGAUUGAAGAAGAACGAAGAGGUA